GACAAGGUGACAACGGGUCUCCCUGUACAGGCCAUCAAAGCAAUUUGAGGGAAACACAUUGUAGCAAGAUGAUGAUGUUUUCCGUGAAAACAAUAAAGUGACUAAGAUCCUUAGCAUGUUGUGCUUAGCUUCCGUGAAGGUCCUCAGCGGCAUACCUGGACAUCCGUCUCGGGAUUGGGCUUUGCACCAGAAAGCUUCUGAGAUACUCUCUCCAUCAGAUCCGCCCCCGGGGGAGGCCAGUUGCGGGUGUGGCCACCUCUGCGGCUGGCUGGGCUGGCCGCUUUGUCUUUGUUCACACCUUCUCCGGCCAGCAGCGCUGAGAAGCAGGGUUUGGAGACCAAGGCAGGGCCCCUUGGUGGGUGGACCAGGUCGAAGCGGGGCAGUGAGCUCAUGGAGCCGGGCAAUGUUCUGCUGACACCCUCCCGGAGGGUCUCAGGCAUCUUUCUGGGGUCCACCAACCCCCGCCACACCUCAGCAGACUGAAUCUCCAGCCCCGCGGGACCCAAUCGCUGCCCACGCCGUCCGAUCCGGAAUCCAGUGGGAAGAGCAGACCCGGGUGCCCACCUCACGGUAUCAAGCACCUUCCCAUCCAGCUGACCCAAACAGGAAAGUCGGCUCAGGGAGCCACUGAGGUCAGGACGGUCGGGCUCCUGCUCCGCUUGUGGCAGGCAGCCUCCUUCCCUGGGGCCGCCUGGGACACCGCCGCCAGCAUUUUCUGGUGCCGCUGAGGCUCCCCUGCCACAGAGCGCCCACGUUGCCGCUGGCCAGCCGGGCACGCCAAUGUGCAUGUGCAAGCGGCGCGUCACAAGCGCUAGCGUCCAUCCGCGGCUCGCGUCACAGUGACAGCCCCUGUGGCCUGGGAAACGGCCGUCUCAGGGGCUUGGCAGAACAGCGGCCUUCCGUGGAAGUGCCUGGACCUUGGGCGAUGGCCCCCCUCUCCCCGAGAUCGUCGCCAGGGUCCUGCAAUUUCAGGAGUCCAGCAGGGCGGGACCAGGCUGAGAAAAGCUGCAGCGGAGCUUCAGGGAUGCGCAGGGCGAUCCCCAAGGAUCCCCGCGAUGCUUCAGGCCUGCUCAGACGCUGUGGGGGGUGCGUCUCCUUGAAAUCUGUCCCUGCUGGGAUUUCCAGGGACAUGGAUGAAUCUGGAGAACAUCAUUCUCAGCAAGCUGACACAAGAACAGAAAAUGAAACACCGCAUAUUCUCACUCAUAGGUGGGUGGUGAACAAUGAGAACACAUGGACACAGAAAUGGGAGUACUACAUACUGGGGUCUAUUUGGGGAAAUAU
ensembl:lncRNA